AAGACUAUAGACCUGCGGAGUACCUGCGGAAGGAUCAUUACCUAGAGUUUGUAGACUUCGGUCUGCUACCUCUUACCCAUGUCUUUUGAGUACCUUCGUUUCCUCGGCGGGUCCGCCCGCCGAUUGGACAACAUUCAAACCCUUUGCAGUUGCAAUCAGCGUCUGAAAAAACAUAAUAGUUACAACUUUCAGCAAUGGAUCUCU
rnacentral:misc_RNA from 1 species